rnacentral:rRNA from 1 species
UACGAGAGGCCCAAACGUUAUUCGGAAUUACUGGGCUUAAAGGGCGCGUAGGCGGCCUGCUAAGUCGAACGUGAAAUCCCCGGGCUCAACCCGGGAACUGCGUCCGAUACUGGUAGGCUUGAAUUCGGGAGAGGGAUGCGGAAUUCCAGGUGUAGCGGUGAAAUGCGUAGAUAUCUGGAGGAACACCGGUGGCGAAGGCGGCAUCCUGGACCGACAUUGACGCUGAGGCGCGAAAGCCAGGGGAGCAAACGGG